rnacentral:rRNA from 1 species
ACGCUCGACACCUACGGAAGCAGCAGUGGGGAAUAUUGCACAAUGGGGGAAACCCUGAUGCAGCGACGCCGCGUGAAGGAAGAAGUAUCUCGGUAUGUAAACUUCUAUCAGCAGGGAAGAAAGUGACGGUACCUGACUAAGAAGCCCCGGCUAACUACGUGCUAGCAGCCGCGGUAAUCUGAGCGGGCUGGCAAGGC